UGAGGAAUAUUGGUCAAUGGACGCAAGUCUGAACCAGCCAAGUAGCGUGCAGGAUGACGGCCCUAUGGGUUGUAAACUGCUUUUAUGUGGGAAUAAAGUGGCGCACGUGUGCGCCAUUGCAUGUACCUCAUGAAUAAGGACCGGCUAAUUCCGUGCCAGCAGCCGCGGUAAUACGGAAGGUCCGGGCGUUAUCCGGAUUUAUUGGGUUUAAAGGGAGUGUAGGCGGUCUGUUAAGCGUGUUGUGAAAUUUAGGUGCUCAACAUUUAACUUGCAGCGCGAACUGUCAGACUUGAGUACACGCAGCGCAGGCGGAAUUCAUGGUGUAGCGGUGAAAUGCUUAGAUAUCAUGAGGAACUCCGAUCGCGAAGGCAGCCUGUGGGAGUGUUACUGACGCUUAAGCUCGAAGGUGCGGGUAUCGAACAGG
rnacentral:rRNA from 1 species